UACGGGGGGGAGCAAGCGUUGUUCGGAUUUACUGGGCGUAAAGGGCGCGUAGGCGGCCACGACAAGUCAGUUGUGAAAUCUCUGGGCUUAACUCAGAACGGUCAACUGAUACUGUCGGGCUAGAGUGCAGAAGGGGCAACUGGAAUUCUCGGUGUAGCGGUGAAAUGCGUAGAUAUCGAGAGGAACACCUGCGGCGAAGGCGGGUUGCUGGGCUGACACUGACGCUGAGGCGCGAAAGCUAGGGGAGCAAACGGG
rnacentral:rRNA from 1 species